rnacentral:tmRNA from 1 species
CACAACGCGGCGGGUCGGCCCAGCGUUUCCGAAACACCAGAUGAUCCGCUAAACGUGUAGACGCCUUCGCAGAUGGCGUUCCGGACAGGGGUUCGACUCCCCUCGCCUCCACCA